rnacentral:rRNA from 1 species
UACGAAGGGGGCUAGCGUUGCUCGGAAUUACUGGGCGUAAAGCGCACGUAGGCGGCUCUUUAAGUCGGGGGUGAAAUCCUGGAGCUCAACUCCAGAACUGCCUUCGAUACUGGGAGUCUCGAGUCCGGGAGAGGUGAGUGGAACUGCGAGUGUAGAGGUGAAAUUCGUAGAUAUUCGCAAGAACACCAGUGGCGAAGGCGGCUCACUGGCCCGGUACUGACGCUGAGGCGCGAAAGCGUGGGGAGCAAACAGG